rnacentral:rRNA from 1 species
AUACGGGGGGAGCAAGCGUUGUCCGGAAUUACUGGGCGUAAAGGGCGUGUAGGCGGCUUGAUAAGUCAGAUGUGAAAGCCUUCCGCUUAACGGAAGAACUGCCUUUGAAACUGUCGGGCUUGAGUGCGAGAGAGGGUAGUGGAAUUCCCAGUGUAGCGGUGAAAUGCGUAGAUAUUGGGAAGAACACCAGUAGCGAAGGCGGCUACCUGGCUCGUAACUGACGCUAAGGCGCGAAAGCGUGGGGAGCAAACAGGAUUAGAAACCCGUGUAGUCC